rnacentral:rRNA from 1 species
AAUAGAUACCCAGGUAGUCCACGCCGUAAACGAUGGAUACUAGCUGUUGGAGGUAUCGACCCCUUCAGUAGCGAAGCUAACGCGUUAAGUAUCCCGCCUGUGGAGUACGGUCGCAAGACUAAAACAUAAAGGAAUUGACGGGGACCCGCACAAGCGGUGGAUCGUGUUCUUUAAUUCGAUGCUAAACGAAGAACCUUACCAGGGCUUGACAUCCCUUGAAUUAAUCCGAAAGGAUUGAGUGCUUUAUUGAACAAGGUGACAGGUGUUGCAUGGCCGUCGUCAGCUCGUGUCGUGAGAUGUUUGGUUAAGUCCAUCAACGAGCGCAACCCUUGCAAGUAGUUGUAUUUUUCUACUUGGACUGCCCCGGCAACGGGGAGGAAGGAGGGGAUGAUGUCAGGUCAGUAUUACCCUUACGUCCUGGGCUAGAAACACGAUACAAUGGCAAGUACAAUGCGCAGCGAAGCCGCGAGGUGAAGCAAAUCGCAUCAAAGCUUGUCCCAGUUCGGAUUGGAGGCUGAACUCGCUCAUGAAGUCG